rnacentral:rRNA from 1 species
CCUACGGGGGGCUGCAGUGGGGAAUAUUGGACAAUGGGGGCAACCCUGAUCCAGCCAUGCCGCGUGUGUGAAGAAGGCCCUCGGGUUGUAAAGCACUUUCAGUGAGGAAGAACGCCUGGUGGUUAAUACCCAUCAGGAAAGACAUCACUCACAGAAGAAGCACCGGCUAACUCCGUGCCAGCAGCCGCGGUAAUACGGAGGGUGCGAGCGUUAAUCGGAAUUACUGGGCAUAAAGCGCGCGUAGGUGGCUUGAUAAGCCGGUUGUGAAAGCCCCGGGCUCAACCUGGGAACGGCAUCCGGAACUGUCAAGCUAGAGUGCAGGAGAGGAAGGUAGAAGUCCCGGUGUAGCGGUGAAAUGCGUAGAGAUCGGGAGGAAUACCAGUGGCGAAGGCGGCCUUCUGGACUGACACUGACACUGAGGUGCGAAAGCGUGGGUAGCAAACAGGAUUAGAUACCCCUGUAGUC